UUGAAGAGUUUGAUCAUGGCUCAGAUUGAACGCUGGCGGCAGGCCUAACACAUGCAAGUCGAGCGGUAGCACAGAAGAGCUUGCUCUUUGGGUGACGAGCGGCGGACGGGUGAGUAAUGUCUGGGAAACUGCCUGAUGGAGGGGGAUAACUACUGGAAACGGUAGCUAAUACCGCAUAACCUCGCAAGAGCAAAGAGGGGGACCUUCGGGCCUCUCGCCAUCAGAUGUGCCCAGAUGGGAUUAGCUAGUAGGUGAGGUAAUGGCUCACCUAGGCGACGAUCCCUAGCUGGUCUGAGAGGAUGACCAGCCACACUGGAACUGAGACACGGUCCAGACUCCUACGGGAGGCAGCAGUGGGGAAUAUUGCACAAUGGGCGCAAGCCUGAUGCAGCCAUGCCGCGUGUGUGAAGAAGGCCUUCGGGUUGUAAAGCACUUUCAGCGGGGAGGAAGGCGGUAAGGUUAAUAACCUUAUCGAUUGACGUUACCCGCAGAAGAAGCACCGGCUAACUCCGUGCCAGCAGCCGCGGUAAUACGGAGGGUGCAAGCGUUAAUCGGAAUGACUGGGCGUAAAGCGCACGCAGGCGGUCUGUUAAGUUGGAUGUGAAAUCCCCGGGCUUAACCUGGGAACUGCAUUCAAAACUGACAGGCUAGAGUCUUGUAGAGGGGGGUAGAAUUCCAGGUGUAGCGGUGAAAUGCGUAGAGAUCUGGAGGAAUACCGGUGGCGAAGGCGGCCCCCUGGACAAAGACUGACGCUCAGGUGCGAAAGCGUGGGGAGCAAACAGGAUUAGAUACCCUGGUAGUCCACGCUGUAAACGAUGUCGAUUUGGAGGUUGUGCCCUUGAGGCGUGGCUUCCGGAGCUAACGCGUUAAAUCGACCGCCUGGGGAGUACGGCCGCAAGGUUAAAACUCAAAUGAAUUGACGGGGGCCCGCACAAGCGGUGGAGCAUGUGGUUUAAUUCGAUGCAACGCGAAGAACCUUACCUACUCUUGACAUCCAGAGAACUUAGCAGAGAUGCUUUGGUGCCUUCGGGAACUCUGAGACAGGUGCUGCAUGGCUGUCGUCAGCUCGUGUUGUGAAAUGUUGGGUUAAGUCCCGCAACGAGCGCAACCCUUAUCCUUUGUUGCCAGCGAUUCGGUCGGGAACUCAAAGGAGACUGCCGGUGAUAAACCGGAGGAAGGUGGGGAUGACGUCAAGUCAUCAUGGCCCUUACGAGUAGGGCUACACACGUGCUACAAUGGCGUAUACAAAGAGAAGCGACCUCGCGAGAGCAAGCGGACCUCAUAAAGUACGUCGUAGUCCGGAUUGGAGUCUGCAACUCGACUCCAUGAAGUCGGAAUCGCUAGUAAUCGUAGAUCAGAAUGCUACGGUGAAUACGUUCCCGGGCCUUGUACACACCGCCCGUCACACCAUGGGAGUGGGUUGCAAAAGAAGUAGGUAGCUUAACCUUCGGGAGGGCGCUUACCACUUUGUGAUUCAUGACUGGGGUGAAGUCGUAACAAGGUAACCGUAGGGGAACCUGCGGUUGGAUCACCUCCUU
rnacentral:rRNA from 3 species